rnacentral:sRNA from 1 species
GCCGGGUGUGGUGGUGCAUGCCUGUAAUUCCAGCUACUUAGGAGGCUGAGGCAGGAGAAUCACUUGUACCUGGGAGGUGGAGGUUGCAGUGAGUCAAGAUUGUGCCAUUGCACUCCAGCCUGGGUGACAAAGUGAGACCCUGUCUCUC